ACACAAUGUGGAAGAACAGAUUAACACUGGGUCUGUGGUUGCUCUGUAGUAGCCCACAUAGGAGUCCUUUAGACUGUGCUCAGACAUGAAUUCUUGUCAAGGAACAAAUAGUAAUUGCAAUGUAUCAGCAUUUGUUCACAAAGCCGCACAGCUGUCACUCGAGAUCAGACGUCACCACCUGUUGAUCGCAGCAAGUACAAGUGUCGACCUUUGUCAUUCUUGUCCUUCUGCCUCUUGCAGCCACUCUGUCCAGCUCUUCUGGAGUACUCACAGCAAGCUCUCCUUCAUAGACUCUGAGUUAUAACUUUGUGCAUUGUGUUUGUUUGGUUUAAGAGUUAUGUCUCUAACUAAAUUCUCAGCCCAG